UACGGAGGGUGCAAGCGUUAUCCGGAUUCACUGGGUUUAAAGGGUGCGUAGGUGGGCAAGUAAGUCAGUGGUGAAAUCUCCGGGCUUAACCCGGAAACUGCCAUUGAUACUAUUUGUCUUGAAUACUGUGGAGGUCAGCGGAAUAUGUCAUGUAGCGGUGAAAUGCUUAGAUAUGACAUAGAACACCAAUUACGAAGGCAGCUGGCUACACAAAUAUUGACACUGAGGCACGAAAGCGUGGGGAUCAAACAGG
rnacentral:rRNA from 1 species